UAGCUUGUCAUAGCUUAUUUUGAAAAUAAGUUAAGGGUUUAUCUCAAAGCUAU
rnacentral:tRNA from 1 species